UGAAUGUUGGUGGCUGAUGCUGGUUCGAUGUUUGCGCAAAGAAGCAUACCACGCAUGCCCUCUGUUGUAAGGCCGGUACCCAAGUGGCCGACAGCCAUGGCAACAUUAAACUGUGCGGCUCACCGUCCCCUUCCUGAUCGACUGACUUCCUCGUACAGCUUUUCAGGGUGACUGGUGUAAUGGCACUUCUUACAUCGAAUGGAAAGGAUCCAUGCCAGGCCUCUCUUUUCCUCCCCAUGCUGGUUUUAGUCCAGUGAACUGUCACAGUCUGGGAAUUUCUAUGAUGGACCACUCUACUUCCUUUUACAACAGGUGCCCCUACAGAUUUACAAAGUUCCAAUGUUGAAUUUCCAUGACCCUGAUUGAUCCGCGACAGGAGAAGGAAUGAAGUUGGCAGGACUUUCCGCACUGUCCUUGGUAGCAGCUGAUGAUGGAACGGACAGCAGUUUACAUGGCCCGUUUCAUCAAAG